rnacentral:misc_RNA from 1 species
GAUGAAGAACGCAGUGAAAUGCGAUAAGUAGUGUGAAUUGCAGAAUUCAGUGAAUCAUCGAAUCUUUGAACGCACAUUGCGCCCCUUGGUAUUCCAUGGGGCAUGCCUGUUCGAGCGUCAUUUGUACCUUCAAGCUCUGCUUGGUGUUGGGUGUUUGUCUCGCCUUGCGCGUAGACUCGCCUUAAAACAAUUGGCAGCCGGCGUAUUGAUUUCGGAGCGCAGUACAUCUCGCGCUUUGCACUCAUAACGACGACGUCCAAAAGUACAUUUUUACACUCUUGACCUCGGAUCAGGUAGGGAUACCCGCUGAACUUAAGCAUAUCAAUAAGCGGAGGA